rnacentral:rRNA from 1 species
GUACACUCCUACGGGAGGCAGCAGUGGGGAAUUUUGGACAAUGGGCGAAAGCCUGAUCCAGCCAUGCCGCGUGCAGGAUGAAGGCCUUCGGGUUGUAAACUGCUUUUGUACGGAACGAAACGGCCUUUUCUAAUAAAGAGGGCUAAUGACGGUACCGUAAGAAUAAGCACCGGCUAACUACGUGCCAGCAGCCGCGGUAAUACGUAGGGUGCAAGCGUUAAUCGGAAUUACUGGGCGUAAAGCGUGCGCAGGCGGUUAUGUAAGACAGUUGUGAAAUCCCCGGGCUCAACCUGGGAACUGCAUCUGUGACUGCAUAGCUAGAGUACGGUAGAGGGGGAUGGAAUUCCGCGUGUAGCAGUGAAAUGCGUAGAUAUGCGGAGGAACACCGAUGGCGAAGGCAAUCCCCUGGACCUGUACUGACGCUCAUGCACGAAAGCGUGGGGAGCAAACAGGAUUAGAAACCCUAGUAGUCCCAUG